AAAACGACUCUCGGCAACGGAUAUCUCGGCUCUCGCAUCGAUGAAGAACGUAGCGAAAUGCGAUACUUGGUGUGAAUUGCAGAAUCCCGUGAACCAUCGAGUCUUUGAACGCAAGUUGCGCCCGAAGCCAUCCGGCCGAGGGCACGUCUGCCUGUGCGU
rnacentral:rRNA from 1 species